UACAGAGGUCCCAAGCGUUGUUCGGAUUCAUUGGGCGUAAAGGGUGCGUAGGCGGCGCGGUAAGUCUGGUGUGAAAUCUCGGAGCUUAACUCCGAAACUGCAUUCGAUACUGCCGUGCUUGAGGACUGGAGAGGAGACUGGAAUUUACGGUGUAGCGGUGAAAUGCGUAGAUAUCGUAAGGAAGACCAGUGGCGAAGGCGGGUCUCUGGACAGUUCCUGACGCUGAGGCACGAAGGCCAGGGGAGCAAACGGG
rnacentral:rRNA from 1 species